rnacentral:lncRNA from 1 species
UAUGCAGUGAUGUCACCGUAUAGUCAGUCAUGCUGAUCAGGAAAGAAACGAUGGGACCGAUCUCCAUUUGACCACCAUCUUCCCACCGAUGCUGAGCCACUGCCCAUUGCUACAUCAGUGGGUCAUGUCCACCAGCUGUGAGAGCAAAAUAUUCCAGCAGUCCACAGCAGAGUCUAGAGGAUCCAGGAGAUGAAGAACAGACUCCAAAUCUAAUCAGAGGGCCAAAGGGUAAAUUCCAAGUUUGGUGAUACUCACAUGGCAAGAGGACCAUGCAGUGCCCUAUGGACUUGGAAGAUAAACAAGCAAGGAGGAAACCAGCAAACCUGUUACUCUCCUCUGUGUUCUGGGGCCAUAGUCAUACAUGCAACUCCAUUCUGAACAGUCUGCUGGGCAGGAAUGGAGGUGAGAAGGAGGUGGAAGGAACCGAGUCAUGUCAUCUACACACUGCUGUGUAAGUUUUAAGCUGGACUACUUUCCACUGAUUCAUUCAGGAAUCCUCAGCGAAGUCCUAGGUUAAGAUCACAGACUACAAAAUCCAGCAGGACACAGAUGCUGCCCUUGAAGAUCUGUUCACAUUUUACUGAGGAAAAAAUAAACCCAAGAAGUAAUAGCUAUGGAUUUUGUGAUAAGCAAUAUGUUCAAAAACCAUCAAGGUGCUACAGGGGCAAAAGAUGCUGACAUUCGAACAGGGAGGAAGUAAGCAGUUAGGAUGGUCCUAAUAAAUUACCUGCACACAUUCUGACAUGGAAGCAAAUAUGAUGGUAAUAUUUUGGUGAAUAGACAUUAAACUGUGGCUCAUGCAGAUGAUGGAAUCAGCAUUUGGUGGGUUUAGGCAGGAGAUAAUACUAAAGAAGCA